GGAUGAAGAACGCAGCGAAAUGCGAUAAGUAAUGUGAAUUGCAGAAUUCAGUGAAUCAUCGAAUCUUUGAACGCACAUUGCGCCCCUUGGUAUUCCGAGGGGCAUGCCUGUUCGAGCGUCAUUACACCACUCAAGCACUGCUUGGUAUUGGGCAUCGUCCGUCGAAAGGCGGGCGUGCCUCGAAGACCUCGGCGGGGUUUCUCCAACUUCGGGCGUAGUAGAGUUAAAUCGAACGUCUUAUAAGCUUGGUGGGACUCCAUUGCCGUUAAACCUUUUAUUUUCUAGGUUGACCUCGGAUCAGGUAGGGAUACCCGCUGAACUUAAGCAUAUCAAUAAGCGGAGGA
rnacentral:misc_RNA from 1 species